rnacentral:ncRNA from 1 species
GCGAAAAAAAGGCAAACCUGCCGAAAGGCAGGGGCGCAAAGCCGCGGGCCUAAAGCGGAGCGAGCCGCCAGGGCAGCCGGGUUGCCGAA